UUUAUGGAGAGUUUGAUCCUGGCUCAGGAUGAACGCUGGAGGCGUGCCUAAUACAUGCAAGUCGAGCGAACGGACGAGAAGCUUGCUUCUCUGAUGUUAGCGGCGGACGGGUGAGUAACACGUGGAUAACCUACCUAUAAGACUGGGAUAACUUCGGGAAACCGUAGCUAAUACCGGAUAAUAUUUUGAACCGCAUGGUUCAAAA
rnacentral:rRNA from 1 species